rnacentral:rRNA from 1 species
GGGAGGCAGCAGUGGGGAAUAUUGGACAAUGGGGGCAACCCUGAUCCAGCCAUGCCGCGUGUGUGAAGAAGGCCCUCGGGUUGUAAAGCACUUUCAGCGAGGAAGAACGCCUGUCGGUUAAUACCCGGUAGGAAAGACAUCACUCGCAGAAGAAGCACCGGCUAACUCCGUGCCAGCAGCCGCGGUAAUACGGAGGGUGCAAGCGUUAAUCGGAAUUACUGGGCGUACAGCGCGCGUAGGUGGCGUGAUAAGCCG